ACACGUAGGGGGCAAGCGUUGUUCGGAAUUAUUGGGGGUAAAGGGCAUGUAGGCGGUUUGGUAAGCCUGAUGUGAAAUCCUGCAGCUUAACUGUAGAAUUGCAUUGGGUACUGCCGAGCUUGAAUCACUGAGGGGAAACUAGAAUUCCAGGUGUAGGGGUGGAAUCUGUAGAUAUCUGGAAGAAUACCGGUGGCGAAGGCGGGUUUCUAGCAGAUGAUUGACGCUGAGGUGCGAAAGUGCGGGGAGCGAACAGGAUUAGAUACCCUGGUAGUCCGCACCGUAAACGAUGUACACUAGGUGUCGGGGCAUGAGUCUCGGUGCCAAAGCUAACGUAAUAAGUGUACCGCCUGGGAAGUAUGCCCGCAAGGGUGAA
rnacentral:rRNA from 1 species